ACUGGUACUGAGACACGGACCAGACUCCUACGGGAGGCAGCAGUGAGGAAUAUUGGUCAAUGGGCGGGAGCCUGAACCAGCCAAGUCGCGUGAGGGAUGACGGCCCUAUGGGUUGUAAACCUCUUUUGCCGGGGAGCAAAGUGCCGCACGUGUGCGGUUUGGAGAGUACCCGGAGAAAAAGCAUCGGCUAACUCCGUGCCAGCAGCCGCGGUAAUACGGAGGAUGCGAGCGUUAUCCGGAUUUAUUGGGUUUAAAGGGUGCGUAGGCGGACGCUUAAGUCAGCGGUAAAAUUGCGGGGCUCAACCUCGUCGAGCCGUUGAAACUGGGUGCCUUGAGUGGGCGAGAAGUACGCGGAAUGCGUGGUGUAGCGGUGAAAUGCAUAGAUAUCACGCAGAACUCCGAUUGCGAAGGCAGCGUACCGGCGCCCAACUGACGCUGAAGCACGAAGGCGUGGGUAUCGAACAGGAUUAGAUACCCUGGUAGUCCACGCAGUAAACGAUGAAUGCUAGUUGUCCGGGGCGAUUGAGUUCUGG
rnacentral:rRNA from 1 species